rnacentral:rRNA from 1 species
GAGUUUGAUCAUGGCUCAGGAUGAACGCUGGCGGCAUGCCUGACACAUGCAAGUCGAACGAAGGUACAAGCCUUAGUGGCGGACGGGUGCGUAACGCGUGAGAACCUACCCUCAGGAGAAGGAUAACUUACGGAAACGUUUGCUAAUACUUCAUAAGUCGAAAGAUGAAAGGAUCCCGCCUGGGAAUGGGCUUGCGUCCGAUUAGCUAGUUGGGGGGGUAACGGCUCACCAAGGCCACGAUCGGUAGCUGGUUUGAGAGGAUGGCCAGCCACAUUGGGACUGAGACACGGCCCAGACUCCUUCGGGAGGCAGCAGUGAGGAAUCUUCCGCAAUGGGCGAAAGCCUGACGGAGCAAUGUCGCGUGGGGGAAGAAGAACCUUGGUUUGUAAACUCCUUUUACUGGGAAAGAAUCCCAGCGUUCCUUGGUUGAGGGGAGCCCUCUUAGAGUGAACCCCUGCUAUAGCCAAGGAGCACGCGCCGGGCAGAGAGAAGGAAGGCUGGGUAGGGGCUAGCUCCUCCUUGGUUAUCCCGCUCUCUGAGAUGACCACCCAGAGAAUAAGCAUCGGCUAACUCCGUGCCAGCAGCCGCGGUAAUACGGGGGAUGCGAGCGUUAUCCGGAAUUAUUGGGCGUAAAGCGCCUGCAGGCUGUUUGGUAAGUCUGGGGUCAAAUACCACGGCCUAACCCUGGAAAGGCAACAGGAACUGCUAAACUGGAGGGUGGUAGAGGUAGAGGGAACUCCUAGUGUAGCGGUAAAAUGCGUAGAUAUUAGAAAGAACACCAGUGGCGAAAGCGCUCUACUGGGCCAUUACUGACACUCAGAGGCGAAAGCUAGGGUAGCAAAAGGGAUUAGAUACCCCUGUAGUCCUAGCCGUAAACGAUGGAUACUAGAUGUUGUGCUUAUAGUACAGUGUCCUAGCUAACGCGUUAAGUAUCCCGCCUGGGGAGUACGCUCGCAAGGGUGAAACUCAAAGGAAUUGACGGGGGCCCGCACAAGCGGUGGAGCAUGUGGUUUAAUUCGAUGCAACGCGAAGAACCUUACCAGGGCUUGACAUACUGCGAAUCUUUUUGAGAAAGAAGAGUGCCUUCGGGAAUGCAGAUACAGGUGGUGCAUGGCUGUCGUCAGCUCGUGUCGUGAGAUGUUGGGUUAAGUCCCGCAACGAGCGCAACCCUUGUUUUUAGUUACUAAUUUAUUAGGUUUUCUAGAAAGACUGCCGGUGACAAACCGGAGGAAGGUGAGGAUGACGUCAAGUCAGCAUGCCCCUUAUGUCCUGGGCCACACACGUGCUACAAUGGUUAAGACAAAGAGUCGCGAAUUCGUGAGAAUCAGCUAAUCUCAUAAACUUAAUCUAAGUUCAGAUUGUAGGCUGCAACUCGCCUACAUGAAGUUGGAAUCGCUAGUAAUCGCUGGUCAGCUAUACAGCGGUGAAUCCGUUCCCGGGCCUUGUACACACCGCCCGUCACACCAUGGGAGCUGGUCAUACCCGAAACCGUUAAUUUAACCUUUUUGGAGAAUGGCGUCUAAGGUAGGGCCAGUGACUGGGGUGAAGUCGUAACAAGGUAACC